UGGUGGCUUUCCCAUAUGGAAGCCUGGAAUGGUCGCACCAUUUUCGGCACCACACCAGAUCUCAUAAUAGAAUCCGACGCGAGUUUACACAGUUGGGGUGCUCGCUGUGGAAAUGUAUCUACAGGUGGCAGAUGGUCCGACAGCGAAUCUACACUCCACACCAAUUGCCUGGAACUCCUGGCAGGAUCCUUUGCAAUCCGCAGCUUCUCACCAACUCAAGCACAAUGCUCUAUCCUUCUGAAGCU